rnacentral:lncRNA from 1 species
UUCACCCGUAGACCACCACCAUGGCCACGGAAGGUGUUGCUGCUGGAGGUGUGGUGGCUGUUAAUACUGCUUUACAAGAGGUGUUGAAGACUGUCCUCACCCAUGAUGGCCUAGCACGUGGAAUUUGCAAAGCUGCUGAAGGGUCAGGCCCAUCUUUUGUGUGUUUGCAUCCAACUGUGAUGAGCCUAUGUCAAGUUCAUAGAGGUUCUUUGUGCUGAACACCAAAUCAACCUACUUAAGGUUGAUGACAAGAAGCUAGGGGGAAUGGUUAGGUCUCUGUAAAAUUGACAGAGAGGGGAAACCCCGUAAAGUGGUUCGUUGCAGUUGUGUAGUAGUU